GACGAACGCUGGCGGCGUGCCUAAUACAUGCAAGUAGAACGCUGAAGGAGGAGCUUGCUUCUCUGGAUGAGUUGCGAACGGGUGAGUAACGCGUAGGUAACCUGCCUGGUAGCGGGGGAUAACUAUUGGAAACGAUAGCUAAUACCGCAUAAUAGCAGUUAUUGCAUGAUAACUGUUUGAAAGGUGCAAUUGCACCACUACCAGAUGGACCUGCGUUGUAUUAGCUAGUUGUGGGGGUAACGGCUCACCAAGGCGACGAUACAUAGCCGACCUGAGAGGGGGAUCGGCCACACUGGGAGUGAGACACGGCCCAGACUCCUACGGGAGGCAGCAGUAGGGAAUCUUCGGCAAUGGACGGAAGUCUGACCGAGCAACGCCGCGUGAGUGAAGAAGGUUUUCGGAUCGUAAAGCUCGGUUGUAAGAGAAGAACGAGUGUGAGAGUGGAAAGUUCACACUGUGACGGUAUCUGACCAGAAAGGGACGGCUAACUACGUG
rnacentral:rRNA from 1 species